UGGGGAAUAUUGCACAAUGGGCGCAAGCCUGAUGCAGCAACGCCGCGUGAGGGAUGACGGCCUUCGGGUUGUAAACCUCUUUUAGCAGGGAAGAAGCGAAAGUGACGGUACCUGCAGAAAAAGCACCGGCUAACUACGUGCCAGCAGCCGCGGUAAUACGUAGGGUGCAAGCGUUGUCCGGAAUUAUUGGGCGUAAAGAGCUCGUAGGCGGUCUGUCGCGUCUGCUGUGAAAUCCCCGAGGCUCAACCUCGGGCCUGCAGUGGGUACGGGCAGACUAGAGUGCGGUAGGGGAGAAUGGAACUCCUGGUGUAGCGGUGGAAUGCGCAGAUAUCAGGAAGAACACCGAUGGCGAAGGCAGUUCUCUGGGCCGUAACUGACGCUGAGGAGCGAAAGCGUGGGGAGCGAACAGGAUUAGAUACCCUGGUAGUCCACGCCGUAAACGUUGGGCGCUAGAUGUGGGGACCAUUCCACGGUUUCCGUGUCGCAGCUAACGCAUUAAGCGCCCCGCCUGGGGAGUACGGCCGCAAGGCU
rnacentral:rRNA from 1 species